UACGGAAGGCAGCAGUGGGGAAUAUUGCACAAUGGGCGCAAGCCUGAUGCAGCCAUGCCGCGUGUAUGAAGAAGGCCUUCGGGUUGUAAAGUACUUUCAGUCGUGAGGAAGGUGUUAAGGUUAAUAACCUUAGCAAUUGACGUUAGCGACAGAAGAAGCACCGGCUAACUCCGUGCCAGCAGCCGCGGUAAUACGGAGGGUGCGAGCGUUAAUCGGAAUUACUGGGCGUAAAGGGCACGCAGGCGGUUAAUUAAGUUGGAUGUGAAAUCCCCGGGCUUAACCUGGGAAUGGCAUUCAAGACUGGUUAGCUAGAGUCUUGUAGAGGGGGUAGAAUUCCAUGUGUAGCGGUGAAAUGCGUAGAGAUGUGGAGGAAUACCGGUGGCGAAGGCGGCCCCUGGCAAAGACUGACGCUCAUGUGCGAAAGCGUGGGGAGCAAACAGGGAUUAGAUACC
rnacentral:rRNA from 1 species